GAGGGUAUAGCUCAAGUGGUAGAGUGCAUGAUUAGCAUGCAUGAGGUUCUGGGUUCAAUCCCCAGUACCUCUC
rnacentral:tRNA from 1 species